GCGGGUGUAGCUCAAUGGCAGAGCCUCAGGCUUCCAUCCUGAUGACGCGGGUUCGAUUCCCGUCACCCGCU
rnacentral:tRNA from 1 species